UGAAAAGACAGGACCUAGUGUUGGAGUGU
rnacentral:piRNA from 1 species